GCAGCCGCCGCGGUAAUACGUAGGGUGCAAGCGUUAAUCGGAAUUACUGGGCGUAAAGCGUGCGCAGGCGGUUUCGUAAGUCUGAUGUGAAAUCCCCGGGCUUAACCUGGGAAUUGCAUUGGAGACUGCGAGGCUAGAAUCUGGCAGAGGGGGGUAGAAUUCCACGUGUAGCAGUGAAAUGCGUAGAGAUGUGGAGGAACACCGAUGGCGAAGGCAGCCCCCUGGGUCAAGAUUGACGCUCAUGCACGAAAGCGUGGGGAGCAAACAGGAUUAGAUACCCUGGUAGUCCACGCCCUAAACGAUGUCUACUAGUUGUCGGGUUUUAAUUAACUUGGUAACGCAGCUAACGCGUGAAGUAGACCGCCUGGGGAGUACGGUCGCAAGAUUAAAACUUAAAGGAAUUGGCGGGGGAC
rnacentral:rRNA from 1 species